rnacentral:rRNA from 1 species
GGAGCUUGCUUUAUAUAACUUAGCAGCGAACGGGUGAGUAACACGUAGAUAAUCUAUCCUAUACUGGGGGAUAGCCCGAUGAAAGUUGGAUUAACACCGCAUAUAGCUAUAUAGUUGCAUGAUUAUGUAGUGAAAGAUUUAUUGGUAUAGGAGGAGUCUGCGGCACAUUAGCUAGUAGGUGAGGUAAAGGCUUACCUAGGCGACGAUGUGUAGCCGGUCUGAGAGGAUGAACGGCCACAAUGGAACUGAGACACGGUCCAUACUCCUACGGGAGGCAGCAGUGGGGAAUAUUGCACAAUGGGGGAAACCCUGAUGCAGCAACGCCGCGUGAGUGAAGAAGGUUUUCGGAUUGUAAAGCUCUGUUAGCAGGGAAGAGGAAGGACGGUACCUGCAGAGGAAGCCACGGCUAACUACGUGCCAGCAGCCGCGGUAAUACGUAGGUGGCAAGCGUUGUUCGGAAUAACUGGGCGUAAAGGAUGCGUAGGCGGUUAAACAAGUUAUAUGUUAAAUAUAUAGGCUUAACCUGUAGAAAGCAUAUAAAACUGUUUAACUAGAGUGCAGGAGAGGUAAGUGGAAUUCCUAGUGUAGCGGUGAAAUGCGUAGAGAUUAGGAAGAACACCAGUGGCGAAGGCGACUUACUGGACUGUAACUGACGCUGAGGCAUGAGAGCAUGGGGAGCAAACAGGAUUAGAUACCCUGGUAGUCCAUGCUGUAAACGAUGGGUACUAGGUGUGGGUUGUGAAUAACAAUUCGUGCCGUCGCAAACGCAAUAAGUACCCCGCCUGAGGAGUACGAUCGCAAGAUUAAAACUCAAAG